rnacentral:tRNA from 1 species
GAGGUUGUGGCGCUUUUGGUAGAGCGCUUACCUAGCAUGUGCGAGGUACUGGGUUCGAUUCUCAGCACCUCA